GGGGGUGAAAAUGGUUUCGACUACCUGGGGAUGUUUCUUGCUGCAUGCAGACCAGCUGAAAGUCUUAAAACCUUAGCAAACUAAGAACUGACAACAGUUCACUUGCUUUUGCUGCAUAAUUUUUAUGUAGCAGGGAAAACUCUCCUUACUCCUGGGGUGAGCAUUUCCCACGAUUACAGGGGAAACUUUUUUUCCUUUUGCCUGUGGGGAAAAAAAGUAAAUAACAGGCUGGUUUGGUUCAAGUUUGCCAUUUUAUUACUUGAAUCAAAUGAGAUUGAAAAGUGGCUAAGCAUGUAGAAGUAAGUUUCAGAACCUUGUAGGACGGGAGUUCAACUCUCCCCACCUCCAAUU
rnacentral:tmRNA from 2 species